CGAACGCUGGCGGCAGGCCUAACACAUGCAAGUCGAGCGGGGGAGCAAUCCCUAGCGGCGGACGGGUUAGUAACGCGUGGGAACGUGCCCAAAGGUACGGAAUAGCCUCGGGAAACUGAGAGUAAUACCGUAUGUGCCCUUCGGGGGAAAGAUUUAUCGCCUUUGGAUCGGCCCGCGUUGGAUUAGGUAGUUGGUGGGGUAAUGGCCUACCAAGCCGACGAUCCAUAGCUGGUUUGAGAGGAUGAUCAGCAACACUGGGACUGAGACACGGCCCAGACUCCUACGGGAGGCAGCAGUGGGGAAUCUUAGACAAUGGGCGAAAGCCUGAUCUAGCCAUGCCGCGUGAGCGAUGAAGGCCUUAGGGCUGUAAAGCUCUUUCAGCUGGGAAGAUAAUGACGGUACCAGCAGAAGAAGCCCCGGCUAACUCCGUG
rnacentral:rRNA from 1 species